GAUGAACGCUGGCGGCGUGCCUAACACAUGCAAGUCGAGCGUGAACCGUCUGAAUGAAACUUCGGUCGAGUGAGGAUGGGGAAAGCGGCGGACGGGUGAGUAACGCGUAGGCAACCUGCCCCGUACAGAGGGAUAGCCUCGGGAAACCGGGAUUAAGACCUCAUAAUACCAUUAUCUCACAUGUGAUAAUGGUCAAAGAUUUUAUCGGUAUGGGAUGGGCCUGCGUCUGAUUAGCUGGUUGGUGGGGUAACGGCUCACCAAGGCGACGAUCAGUAGCCGACCUGAGAGGGUAAUCGGCCACAUUGGAACUGAGACACGGUCCAAACUCCUACGGGAGGCAGCAGUGGGGAAUAUUGCACAAUGGGCGAAAGCCUGAUGCAGCAACGCCGCGUGAGCGAGGAAGGCCUUUGGGUCGUAAAGCUCUGUCGAGGAGGAAGAUAAUGACGGUACUCCUCGAGGAAGCCCCGGCUAACUACGUGCCAGCAGCCGCGGUAAAACG
rnacentral:rRNA from 1 species